GAGGUAGUGACAAUAAAUAACAAUGCCGGGCUUUUACAAGUCUGGCAAUUGGAAUGAGAGCAAUUUAAACCCAUCAUCGAGGAUCAAUUGGAGGGCAAGUCUGGUGCCAGCAGCCGCGGUAAUUCCAGCUCCAAUAGCGUAUAUUAAAGUUGCUGCAGUUAAAAAGCUCGUAGUUGGAUUUGUGGCGCGGCCGUCCGGCGGGGCUCCUUCAUUGGGGCCGUUUGUCUGGUUUUUCGGCCGCUCCAUUCUCGGGUAGUGUGUCGCUGGCAUUAGGUUGUCGGCUUCUUCACGCCCGUCGUUUACUGUGAAAAAAUUAGAGUGUUCAAAGCAGGCUUAGGCCAUUGGAUACAUUAGCAUGGAAUAAUGAGAUAGGGCCACGACGGUCUAUUUUGUUGGUUUGCACGUUGUGGUAAUGAUUAACAGGAACGGUUGGGGGUAUUCGUAUUCAAUUGUCAGAGGUGAAAUUCUUGGAUUUAUGGAAGACGAACUACUGCGAAAGCAUUUACCAAGGAUGUUUUCAUUAAUCAAGAACGAAAGUUAGGGGAUCGAAGAUGAUUAGAUACCAUCGUAGUCUUAACCAUAAACUAUGCCGACUAGGGAUUGGCGGUCGUUAAUUUAAGGACUCCGUCAGCACCUUCCGAGAAAUCAAAGUCUUUGGGUUCCGGGGGGAGUAUGGUCGCAAGGCUGAAAUCCAUAUGAC
rnacentral:rRNA from 1 species